ACGUUCUGAAAAUCACCGCUGGUCUCCUGUGGCCCUUGGUGAGAUAAAUGUGCCCACAGUAUAGGGAGCGUUAAGCUCAUUGCCCACGGUCCUGGUGCGUGGGGAGUGAAACCCAUGUUCCUAUAACU